AUUGGACGCUGGCGGCAUGCCUUACACAUGCAAGUCGAACGGCAGCACGGGAGCAAUCCUGGUGGCGAGUGGCGAACGGGUGAGUAAUGUAUCGGAACGUACCUUUCAGUGGGGGAUAACGUAGCGAAAGUUACGCUAAUACCGCAUAUUCUGUGAGCAGGAAAGCAGGGGAUCGCAAGACCUUGCGCUGAUUGAGCGGCCGAUAUCAGAUUAGCUAGUUGGUGAGGUAAAGGCUCACCAAGGCGACGAUCUGUAGCGGGUCUGAGAGGAUGAUCCGCCACACUGGAACUGAGACACGGUCCAGACUCCUACGGGAGGCAGCAGUGGGGAAUUUUGGACAAUGGGCGCAAGCCUGAUCCAGCCAUGCCGCGUGAGUGAAGAAGGCCUCGGUUGUAAG
rnacentral:rRNA from 1 species